CUUUUCCGGAAUUCUUCCCAAACGCUUACUACGUUCGUUUUUUCCUUAUGUUAUUUUUUUAUUUUUGGUUCUUCUUCUAGGGGAUAGGGGAGAAAGUGAUUGGUCGAGUGGCUGGCUGCCAGUCUGCUCGCAGAAACUUCUUGACAGACCCCGAGAUGUUGUCAAAGGGAAAUGCCGCGCGAUCGACCGACCACUUCUGAACACGACUAAUUUCUUCUCUUUGAUGCUAGGCGGUCGAUUACCACGCCUUUCCUGAGAUCCACACUUUUCCGGGAUAAUUUCUUCAAACCAACUCUUUUCUAUUCUUGGAAGUAAUACAAAUUUGGAAGGGAACAACACUCAAGACAAUAUCUUUCCAUAUAAUCUUCAAAUAAAACCAUCCAACCUCGUUUCAAGACCAUAGAAUCGAAAGCCGAGAAAAAAUACAAUAAAAAAGAAAUGACUUAUCGGAAGGGACAACUCAAGUAUAUUCACAAAUCACAAGGUGGCGCCUAUGUAGAUGGUGUGUGGUGCGGUUUCCCUCAAAUAUAGAGAGGAGCACGACUUACAUGGCUAUAUAAAUGGUGAGCUUCUACCAACGGAAAGAAAAGGAAAGAAAUGAAAGAUCGAACAGAAAGAGGUAGAAUGAAAGGGAAGAUGAAAAAAGGAAGCGAGAAAGAAUAAGGUUAAGACAGCAGUUGCGGAGAGGAAGAGAGAAAUUCAGAGGGGCCAUGUGGCGUUUCAGGAGAUAUCAAAUCAUACUACGUGUACGCCAUGCCGCCCCCUAAAUAUAGUUUAUUGCGUUACCGAGUAUUAAUGGAGCUCGUAUAGGAAGGACGAAGACAGACAAACUAUCGUGCGUUACGGAUCAGCCACGGAAAACCGAAAAUAAAACUUGGUAAUAGAUCCUGAUUGAUUGAGUAAUUGAGUAAUUAAGUAAUUAUGCGGAUACGUGUGAAAAUUUCGGUUCUUUAUGAAUAUUGCAGGAUAAUUGAAGCGUUGAUUAAUUGAUGUUAAUAUGACAAAUGGCAGACAAUAUAACGUCUUAUUCUAAUUACCUUAUCAUUAUAUCACGAAAUUAUUGUAUUGAAUCGAGAAGUUGUAUAGGUAAAAUCAUUUUUAAAA
rnacentral:lncRNA from 1 species